CAGAAAAAGAAGAAAAACAAAAAAGAAAAACAAAAAGGGGGAAAAAUGCAAAUA
rnacentral:ribozyme from 14 species